rnacentral:rRNA from 1 species
UACGGAGGGUGCAAGCGUUGCUCGGAAUUAUUGGGCGUAAAGGGUAGGUAGGUGGUCUCAUUUGUCUGGGGUGAAAGCCUUGGGCUUAACUCAAGAAGUGCCCCAGAAACGGUGAGACUGGAGUCCUGGAGAGGGUCGUGGAAUUCCCGGUGUAGCGGUGAAAUGCGUAGAGAUCGUAAGGAAGACCAGUGGCGAAGGCGGGUCUCUGGACAGUUCCUGACACUGAGGCACGAAGGCCAGGGGAGCAAACGGG